GCGGACGACGCAGCGGAGAUCUACGACGGAGCGAGAGCCGAAUUUCCUCUCACAUUCGGUAAUCAAUCCAAAUCUCAAACCCCUCUCGAAGCCAUCCACAAUACGACCCGUCGUAACCAGAACCUUCAACAACAGCAACGACAACCACCACCCUCCUCCGCCGACCUCCCUUCUCUCUCCUCCUCCUCCUCCAAAACCUGGCUCAAUUCCCUCCGUACCGCCAAAACCCCCAACCCUAACCCUAACCCUAGCGAUUCGGAUGCAACCCUUAUCUGACCGCCUCGUCCACCGCAGCCUGAUUCGGCCUCCGACGACGACAGCGAUGCCCUCAUCGGACCGCCGCCGCCUCCCGGGAGUGCCGAGAGCGACGACG
rnacentral:lncRNA from 1 species